ACCACUCACAUCUUGCUUGCUAGGUGGAGAGGAGCCAAAUAUACUCCGAAAAGGAAGUAAAAAGAGGGCUGAGCCUAUUCACAACCAGGUUUAAAUACCCCAUCUUGCUCUCGGCCCAGGUGAGAAUUCAGUGAGAUUAGUCUCUAUCAGCAAAGUUCCCAUUUCCAUGGUAACAUGAAAUCAAUAUACAGUUGAAUCUGACAUCACAAUGAAGGCCCCUAUAAAAGGAAUUAACUCAGCUCAGUUGGGUUACCUUGGACUAAGGUCCCCAUCAACCCUUACCUCUAUUCAUUUUCUCCCCUGAACGAUGGGUGCAAAUUGUACGCACCAUUAUAGGAAACAGAGAAAAACAGAGUUAAACAGAAGACUGGCUUCUGGAAGAAAAAAAAUUGACACCUCUUUGCCUGAUGGUACCAUCGCCCCAUCAGGUGACUCCUCCGUGUCCACAAUAACUGACAACAAUACUUCAGGUUAUAAACAUCAAAUGAGCUUCCCUUGCUUCAGAAACAUAUCAUGGAACUCUUACUACAAGACCUUCACACUCAGCUUCACUAUUACCAACAUGUUUUACACAACAAAGAUGAAUCAAAAGGACUCCAGAACAUUCGAGGCUGCUGAGCAUAUCCUGCAAAUCUUGCUCAAGGUAUUGUUUGGAAGCAGCAGGCUUGCCUCUCAGUAUUCUGGAUGCAGUGCCCUUUCACUGAGGUGAGAAUCCUUCAAGACAUCAUCAGCUCAGAUAUUAGGGACCAGCAAUUAACAUUUCACACAAAGGAUGCCCAGGCUGUUUCUUCUUCUGCUUCUUAGUAGAAAUUCCUUCUUUCCCAACCUGUAAUGGAUAAAAUCUUCCAACCAAGAAGUUGUUAAAAUAUUUUAGACUCCUUAUACUCUUUCUCAGGUAGAAAAAUAUCCUUUCCCCAUUACUCUUUCCAUAGAUAAGUUUGCAACUGUUUUCACUUUAUAACUCCACAUGAAAAGAAUAAUAGAGGAGGCACCAAAUGAGUGCUUAGAAAAUGAUUGAUUAGAACAUAUCAACAUUACCUUUCACUAGAAUCUUAUAGGCUCCAAGCUGGAAGGGACAGUAGAGGUAAUCUGGCCCACUCUCUUCAUUUACAGAUGAAAAAAUGAAGACCCAAGGAGAUCCCAAUAACUUUCCCCAGGUCAAAAAUAGUCAGAAUUUGAACACUUGAUCUUUGAUUUUAAAUUCAUUUUUCUUUCCACUACUCUAAAGAAACUACUGAAAAUAAUCAGACCCCACAGACACCUAUAAACAUACAAAUAAGUAAUGUUACAGAGUACUGCCAAUUUCAUUGUCCUUGAUAAAGUGCUAAGUUUGGAAUCAGAAAGAACAAGUUCAAAUUUUCUCUCACUUACCAGAUGUGUGAUGCUAUGCAAGUCACAUAAUCUGCCUUAGCCUCCAUUUCUUUCCUCUAUAAACUGAGAGGGCUAUAUUUGAUGGUUUCCCAUGUCCUUUUCAACUUUAAAUCUACAAUCAUCUCUAAACCUUUAUUCCAAGUCAGCCACUUCUCUCAAGAGUGUUCUCUGAAUAACUAAAUUUCAGAAACUAAACCAGUGGUGUCCAACUCAAAAGGAAAUUUCUGAAGCCACUAAAUUAUACAUCAUCACGGUCCCUAUUGCCUGCAUUUUGGCUCAGAAAAACAUAUACAUACAUGCAUACAUACAUACAUAUAUAACUUUUUAAAUUAAUAAGC
ensembl:lncRNA